rnacentral:rRNA from 1 species
UUCUCGGUGUGAGGGAACGGUCCGACCUCUGGUGGGCUCUUGCUUCCUCUCACGCCAUCCUUGAGUGGUGUCUUCUGGCAUUCAGUUGUCGGGACGUUAGCCGCUCAUCGUUUACUGUGAGAAAAUUAGAGUGUUCAAAGCAGGCUUAUGCCGUUGAAUAUAUUAGCAUGGAAUAAUAAGAUAGGACUUCGGUACUAUUUUGUUGGUUUGCGCACCGAUGUAAUGAUCAAUAGGGACAGUUGGGGGUAUUCGUAUUCAGUUGUCAGAGGUGAAAUUCUUAGAUUUACGGAAGACGAACUACUGCGAAAGCAUUUACCUAUUUUGUUUUCAUUAAUCAAGAACGAAAGUAUGGGGAUCGAAGAUGAUUAGAUACCAUCGUAGUCUAUACCAUAAACUAUGCCGACUCAGGAUGGGCGGGUGUUGUAUGACCUCGUCUGCACUGUAUGAGAAAUCAAAGUCUUUGGGUUCCGGGGGGAGUAUGGUCGCAAGGCUGAAACUUAAAGAAAUUGACGGAAGGGCACCACCAGGAGCGGAACCUGC